rnacentral:rRNA from 1 species
UACAGAGGUCCCAAGCGUUGUUCGGAUUCAUUGGGCGUAAAGGGCGCGUAGGCGGCCUACUAAGUCGGACGUGAAAUCCCUCGGCUCAACCGAGGAACUGCGUCCGAUACUGGCAGGCUGGAAUCCGGGAGAGGGAUGUGGAAUUCCAGGUGUAGCGGUGAAAUGCGUAGAUAUCUGGAGGAACACCGGUGGCGAAGGCGGCAUCCUGGACCGGUAUUGACGCUGAGGCGCGAAAGCUAGGGGAGCAAACGGG